GAUGAAGAACGCAGUGAAAUGCGAUAAGUAGUGUGAAUUGCAGAAUUCAGUGAAUCAUCGAAUCUUUGAACGCACAUUGCGCCCCUUGGUAUUCCAUGGGGCAUGCCUGUUCGAGCGUCAUUUGUACCUUCAAGCUCUGCUUGGUGUUGGGUGUUUGUCUCGCCUCUGCGUGUAGACUCGCCUCAAAAUAAUUGGCAGCCGGCGUAUUGAUUUCGGAGCGCAGUACAUCUCGCGCUUUGCACUCAUAACGACGACGUCCAAAAGUACAUUUUUACACUCUUGACCUCGGAUCAGGUAGGGAUACCCGCUGAACUUAAGCAUAUCAAUAAGCGGAGGA
rnacentral:misc_RNA from 1 species